CGGGGCCCAACCUCCCACCCGUGUUGCCCGAACCUAUGUUGCCUCGGCGGGCCCCGCGCCCGCCGACGGCCCCCCUGAACGCUGUCUGAAGUUGCAGUCUGAGACCUAUAACGAAAUUAGUUAAAACUUUCAACAACGGAUCUCUUGGUUCCGGCAUCGAUGAAGAACGCAGCGAAAUGCGAUAACUAAUGUGAAUUGCAGAAUUCAGUGAAUCAUCGAGUCUUUGAACGCACAUUGCGCCCUCUGGUAUUCCGGAGGGCAUGCCUGUCCGAGCGUCAUUGCUGCCCUCAAGCCCGGCUUGUGUGUUGGGCCCCGUCCCCCCCGCCGGGGGGACGGGCCCGAAAGGCAGCGGCGGCACCGCGUCCGGUCCUCGAGCGUAUGGGGCUUCGUCACCCGCUCUAGUAGGCCCGGCCGGCGCCAGCCGACCCCCAACCUUUAAUUAUCUCAG
rnacentral:rRNA from 1 species